rnacentral:rRNA from 1 species
UACGUAGGGUGCGAGCGUUAAUCGGAAUUACUGGGCGUAAAGCGUGCGCAGGCGGCGCGUUAAGACAGGUGUGAAAGUCCAGGGCUCAACCCUGGAAUGCCGGUGGAUACUGUCGGGCUAGAGUCCGGAAGAGGCGAGUGGAAUUCCUGGUGUAGCGGUGAAAUGCGUAGAUAUCUGGAGGAACACCGGUGGCGAAGGCGGCAUCCUGGACCGAUAUUGACGCUGAUGCGCGAAAGCCAGGGGAGCAAACGGG